rnacentral:tRNA from 1 species
GGGGGGCUGGCGCAACGGUAGCGCGGUAAGCAUCAUAUGGAUCCCAUCUCAUAAAUCACUCAACUAACUCCCCUCAUAGUCAGAUUCCAGUGCACUGGGAUCUCCUGAAGGUUAAGGGUUCAAAUCCCUUGUCCCUCA